CUACGGGAGGCUGCAGUGGGGAAUAUUGGACAAUGGGCGCAAGCCUGAUCCCGCAAUGCCGCGUGAGUGAAGACGGCCUUAGGGUUGUAAAACUCUUUCGCUAGGGAAGAUAAUGACUGUACCUAGUAAAGAAGUCCCGGCUAACUCCGUGCCAGCAGCCGCGGUAAUACGGAGGGGACUAGCGUUGUUCGGAAUUACUGGGCGUAAAGAGUUCGUAGGCGGACUGACAAGUUAGAGGUGAAAUCCCAGGGCUCAACCCUGGAACUGCCUUUAAAACUGUCAGUCUAGAGACCGGAAGAGGUUAGGGGAAUACCUAGUGUAGAGGUGAAAUUCGUAGAUAUUAGGUGGAACACCAGUGGCGAAGGCGCCUAACUGGUCCGGUACUGACGCUGAGGAACGAAAGCGUGGGGAGCAAACAGGAUUAGAUACCCCAGUAGUC
rnacentral:rRNA from 1 species